UCAUCCAGUAGGCUAAUCCUUACCUCCCCUUUUGGAGGGCAGAAUAGUAUGUGGUCAUUGGAGCUCGCAUGAUUCAUGAUUAUGGCUCUGUCUGAUCACGACUUGCAAGAGCCUGAUUGCUCCUGAU
rnacentral:snoRNA from 1 species